CAAUUCAAGAAGAGGAUCUUAUCGGAGGCUCGUAUGAUGCAACCAGUGCGAUUUACACCGGAGGAGGUGUGGGCGGGGACAAGGGUGAUUGGCAUAGCUUGUUCCAAUCGCUGAGGCUUUUAUUCCUUGGGGUGAUGAGGAUGUUGCGGGUGGCUGGAGUCCCAGAGGACAGACUCCUUGCCCUUCUGGCGCCUGGAGACCUGGGGCAGGGGCCCGCCGGUGGGAGUUGCAGAGGACAGGUGUUCCUGUACCUGCUGAGCAGGUGGUUGUACCCGCCGGGCCCCCGCAGUGCUCACGUUCCUGAGCUGGCCAGGCAGGGCUGACAGCCAAGCCCCCGGCAUUUGUGCGCAGAACUCGAGUGGUCCGCCUGGACACGCUGUACCCGAGCGUGGGUGACCUUGACCAUCUCCACUCAGUGUUUCCCCAGAAAGAAACCUGGGAGUGCUUUCUGCCUUGAGCGCUGGCCGGGGAGACCCUGCAGAAAGUAAGGGAUGAACGCAUGCUAGUUUGAGAAUUUUACUCCCCGGCUACUUACAGAAAGGGGGGGCCUAGUCCUCAAGGACCUUGAAGGAUCUGGCGAGGCCUCCCUCUGAAGCGUUCCUCCCACGUGUUCUGUCAUCGAUUGGCUGAUACCCAAGCUACUGCUUCUUGUUGUCAGGCGGCUCCUUCCCCGAGACUAUUUCUGCCCAGAUCCUUUCUCCACCUGUUGACCUUGAAGAUUCCUGUCUGUCAGCCCUCCCUAAAACCUUUCCUCAACCCUCAGGCAGAGUUGACUCAACACUGCCUCCUGGCGGAAGAAAUAAUUCAAGCAAGAGGCAGAUGAAGAGCAGAACCAGGCAAUCAGAGGAAUUGGGAAGCUACGUGACCACAGCUGUAUCCGGAAUGAAUUCCUUUAGAAUAUGUUCUUUUAGAAAUCGGAAGCCUCCAGGGCCAGCAAUAUUGUCCCAGAACACAAGACCCAGAGCAUCGGUGGCAACUGACCAGACCUCUAAGCUAAUCCACACUUGCUUGUUUUACUCAGUCUUAACCCGGAGCAGCACCCAGGAUGUUUAAACUUAGCAGCAACAACUCAGGGGAGAGAAGUUUAUCACCCAUGGCACUCAAGCACAAAAUGCUUGGGGGUGGUUAUAUUUGGGUGUAUGGAUGCUGUCAUGAUGGGGAGGAUGUCAUUUACAAGUUGAGUUUUCUGCUGAACACAUAUUUCUUUAAAAACCGAAGUUGUUAGGAAGAUACAUUCAAGAGUCACUGUGUGGCCAAAUGGUGGAUUCAAUAAGCACGAACCCGCUAAGGGGUGUGUCCUGGGAUGGUAACCGGGCUCUCUUGCUAAAGAGAGCAGUUUUAAGCUUCUCCCGGAUUAACUAGCUGGUGUGCCUGGGUGAGCCUUGGUGAAAGCUUAACUCUGUGCUUAUCUCCAGAUUGUCUUUCUUCUUCAUGUACAACUCCUCCGCCAGCAUAGCCCAACCCCUCUCCCAACCCCUACUACUUCAUGGUUCGUACCAAACCAGGAUGUGCCUCGCUGUGUCUUAUCUCACAGAAGGACAUGCCCAGUGAGGCCUGGAGCAGGCGGGAUCUAUACUUAGUUCCUGAACUGGAUACUCACGUGUGCAGGUUUUAUUUAAGGCUCCAAAGACCUUUGUGUUCCAAAGAUACCAACGGGCCUGUGCUGUGAGCGCUAUCAUUUACUGUUGACUGUAAUUAACUCCCAGAGCGCCAUUUAGAAAUUGUUAUGCUGUGUAAUUUUUGUACUUAAGUAUCAUAGUACAAUGGUUAAAAAGGCCUGACCUCUGGAAGUGGAUUUCCUCUGUGUGUCUCUGUUUCCUCUCCUGCAAUAUGAAGCUAAUAAUAGUUCUGCCGGGUGGGGGGCGGGGGUGCUGGGGAGAUUAACUUGUUUAAUGCAACUAAAUGGUUUCAUGCGAGAACUCUUUGAACUGUAAUUCACAAGAACGCAGCAAAUGUUAACGGGGUUUGCCGAGUGUUAAUAAGAUUCGUUGUCGUCAUCAUCACUAAUGUCAGACUCUUUGCUCUGAGAGGUAUCUGGCUUUUUAUUGAAUGAGGAGCUGCACGGAUGCAUUAUACCUACGCGUGGACUCAGAAUCAGAUUCCUCUUACUAGUUGAGAUGCUGAGUUACUCAAUUUUGUCUGAGUUUUACAAUUCCUAGCUGUUACAUUGUAGCAGAUAGAAAUGUAUUACACAGCAUAGCAGUAAAGUUAUUAUUAUUGUCAUAGAGAUUACACUUCAGUCCCUAGGCAGCUGGAAAGUAAUGGUUGAGCUCUCUUUGAAGUCUCCUUGAUCUGGCCUCUUGGAGGUAUAUACUCAGAUAUUUUUUAAAUGGAAAAGAGGCCAAGUGUGGUUGAUGCAUGCCUAUAAUUCCAACACUUACAAGGCUGAGGUAGAAUUUGAGGUGAGCCUUAGCUACUUAAUGAGUCUAAGAAAGAAGUUUUUGUAAUUGCUUGCAAAAUUUAAAGGAAACAAGAUAAUAUAUUCAAAAUGAAUUAAAAUAUAAAUAUAUUAAUAAUAGUCUUUUAUAUCUUUCUCUGCAAGAGAAAAAAAUGCUUUAGAAACCAUCCCAUAAUUCUCUCAAUAUCUGGGAAAACCUUCAUUUCCACUUAAGACAGUAGUGAUCAACUUACUUAAUGGUGUAACCCAUUAAUACUUUUUGAUAUCUUUAAUAUGAUUGGGGGCUACCUCAACAACAUAAAAUUAUUUUGUUGUUACUUCAUAACUGUAAUUUUCCUACUGUUAUGAAUUGUAAUGUAAAUAUCUGAUAUGUAAGGAUCUCUGAUGUACAAUCUCGAAGGGGUCAAAACCCACAUGUUCAGAACCACUGACUUAAAACACCACCAACAGCCGGGCGGUGGUGGCGCACGCCUUUAAUCCCAGCACUCGGGAGGCAGAGCCAGGCGGAUCUCUGUGAGUUCGAGGCCAGCCUGGACUACCAAGUGAGUUCCAGGAAAGGCGCAAAGCUACACAGAGAAACCCUG